GGUUCAUUAGUCCAAAUAUUACUCUCAGUGUUCCAGUCUCCAGCGAGCACUAAUGCUUCGAUUAUCCUUUGAUUGGGUCGAUUCGCACGAAUACAUUUCCAGGUGAUCGGAAAGGUUAGACUUAUAUUAUCGCCGUAGAUUUUUCUGGGAAGUUCAUCAUGAUCACGAUCCUCUGAGGCAAUUAUGAAGCGAUCUUCUUCUUGAAGUCGACUAAGAAGUCGGUUGUUGUGACUUUUCCGACUGAAGUUGACACACACUAUAUUAAGUUGCAUUGUUCACUGUAAUGUGAUCUGAAUGUGUUUCUUUAUUUAUAUAGAUUACAAUUUCUUGAUUGUUUCUUUGAUUUGAAUGGUUUCUCUUAUUUUUAUUUGGGUGCUCGUUAUCAUUUGCGUGUGAGAGGACCAGGAUACUUGUUUCCCCAUUAUUCCCGUUUUUUGCUCGAAUCAUUUGGUGCUGAGAUCAUAGUGGUCAAUCCAUGGUAUAUUUAUACUUGUGAAUUUCAUUUGGACGAGGAGGAAUUCGUUUUGGAAUUAUGUCGCUGUUUUCACUUGAGUUAUUCAUUCAUUGUUCUUCAGCUAUGGAGAGGAUCGAAUACCUUGUUUUUGCGAGUACAAUUGGGAGUCCCGGUACCCGAUGUUUAUGGUUUGUCAUAAUAACUACAUGAUCUCAAUCGUUGUAAUCUUUACAUUUAAUUCAUUUUUCAGGAGAUCAUGUUCCU